rnacentral:lncRNA from 10 species
CCCGGCCCGCGCCCUCCCCGCCCAGCCGCCUCCCCGUCGACCACCCAGGGCUGGGGCGAGCCAGGCUGCCUUUCGAACUUGGGGGCUUCUCCUCUUGUCUCCCACUGGUGCUCUGGCCGUGAAUCCAUCCAGGCGCCAGGAGAUGACAAUCCGGUACCAAGGCCGGCAGUACAGGCUGAGGAUGGCAUUUCUCCAAAAGGUUGAAAUAUCAGUAAAAAACAUGCAGACCCAAAGAUGGGGACCAAAAUCCAAAGCCAGAGGGUCCUGGAAAUCAGAGGGUCUUACAACAUAACAGGCAGUACAGGCCAUGGCUCAGGCUAGGCGUGGAACAGACUGCAGUUCUCUUCUACAAAUCAAUCUAGACUGGACAGACAGAACUCCAAGGGAGGAAAGAAAAAUGAAUCUGAUGUUACUUCUUGAAACCACAUUUUCUGAAGUCACCAUUUUUAUGUAUCUAUCAACUCAUCAUUUUUAUGUCCAGUCACAUCUUCUAUGCCUAUCUCAGCUGCUGACACGUGACUCAGCUGCUCCCAUUUUCCUUGGAAAAGUAGGAGCUGGAAAGGACCUCAGUCAGAGGUCAUCCACAUCAACCAUCUCAUUUCACUGAUGAGGAAACUGAGACUUGGACCAGGGGAAGUCAGCUGCCAUGUUGUGAGGACACUCAAGCAAUCCUAUGGAGAGGCCCAUGUGAUGAGGAACUGAAGCCUCCUGCCAACAGCCAUGUGAGGGCACCAUCUUGGAAGCAGAUCCGCCAACUUCACCCAAGCCUUCAGAUGAAUAUAGCCCUGACCGACAUCUUCACUACAAUCUCAUGAGAGAACCUGCGCCAGCACUACCUAGCUAUGAUGCUGCAAAAUUCCUGACCCAUAGAAACUGUGAGAUAAUAAAUGCCUGUUGUGUUAAGCCACAAGUUUUGUGGAAAUUUGUUACUCAGCAAUAACUAACAUGAGAGUUAGCUGAAGGUCACAUUCUUGUUGAGUAGUGGAAAGGGUUUUGUUAACCCUUCACCCACUGUGGUUCACUUGAUAAAUGAUAGAUGAAUAAAGAGUGAAAAUGAG